GAUGAACGCUAGCUACAGGCUUAACACAUGCAAGUCGCGGGGGCAGCAUGGGGGUUGCUUGCAACCCCCCGAUGGCGACCGGCGCACGGGUGAGUAACGCGUAUCCAACCUGCCCUUCACCACGGGAUAACCCGGCGAAAGUCGGACUAAUACCGUAUGUUGUCCAUUGACGGCAUCCGAUUUGGACGAAAGGUUUGGCGGUGAAGGAUGGGGAUGCGUCCGAUUAGCCAGACGGCGGGGUAACGGCCCACCGUGGCUACGAUCGGUAGGGGUUCUGAGAGGAAGGUCCCCCACACUGGAACUGAGACACGGUCAG
rnacentral:rRNA from 1 species